CAUAGCUCAGAGGCAUUCUGGGACAGGAAAAACAAAGUUACAAACUUCCGUGUUGGAAAGAAGGAUCUCUCUUCUCCCAAACCCGUGCUUUCCUGGGUUAAAGAAAUUUCAAGCAGCUGGAAAUGCCAGCAGGGUCCUCUCUUUACUCUAUCCAGCCUCUCGCCUUGGGGCUGAGGAGAAAAUCUUCAGUAACCAUGGUAACCUGACUUCAGUACAAUCCCCUGUAUUGGGGUGAAAAAGAGAGAUCACACCACAAAGAAGAGGAAGAAGGACAACAACAGAUCAUCAUAAACAUCACAACACAGAAAGAAGAAAAAACUGCUUCUGCUGCCAUCUAGAUCAAGGGAACUUUAUGCCAGCUGCUGCUCAACAUAUUGGGACCCUAUGCCAGAAAGCUUUUAGCAUGGACUUUAAUACUCUGAACUCUCUGCCUUCGAGACUGAUGCAUUCAUACAAUAAACAGCUUUACUGGAACUGA